rnacentral:rRNA from 1 species
UGGGGAAUAUUGCACAAUGGGCGCAAGCCUGAUGCAGCCAUGCCGCGUGUAUGAAGAAGGCCUUCGGGUUGUAAAGUACUUUCAGCGGGGAGGAAGGUGUUGUGGUUAAUAACCACAGCAAUUGACGUUACCCGCAGAAGAAGCACCGGCUAACUCCGUGCCAGCAGCCGCGGUAAUACGGAGGGUGCAAGCGUUAAUCGGAAUUACUGGGCGUAAAGCGCACGCAGGCGGUAUGUCAAGUCGGAUGUGAAAUCCCCGGGCUCAACCUGGGAACUGCAUCCGAAACUGGCAGGCUUGAGUCUUGUAGAGGGGGGUAGAAUUCCAGGUGUAGCGGUGAAAUGCGUAGAGAUCUGGAGGAAUACCGGUGGCGAAGGCGGCCCCCUGGACAAAGACUGACGCUCAGGUGCGAAAGCGUGGGGAGCAAACA